UACUGCUUCCAAGCUUCAGAGAAAACUUCAACUUCACCACAUCAUCUGGUGUUUGCUGGUGAUGAAAUGGAAUAGCUUUUAAGCAGAAGCUUUGGGUAGCUCUUAAAAGAGCUGUUGGUUUGGUUGGUUCUUUUAAGGCCUAUGUAACGGACCUAUUGUGUAUCCACCUGUAUUGCGCCCCAGAACCUUUUGUUUACGUCUCACCCGGUACCCUUUUAGAGGCGCACAGCAGCAUUCACGGCGAUGCGUGUUUCGCGCGUAGUCGCGUCGAAGACCGUAUGAAGCAAGCUAACGGCUGACCCAUGAAUGUCCGGUGAAUGCAACUUUUCCCUCUCAAUUUACCCUCGUCUUGCACCUUUGGCAAGCGGAGCGAGGUAUGUUGGUUUAUUGUAUGCCUUUAGUGUGAUUAUGUUUAAUUUUGGUGUCAUUAUGUAAGUGAAGCAAAUAAUGCUAACGUUUAAGUUUUCUUUGUUGUGCUGAAAUAUGUUUUCUGUCAUUCUUUUAUUUGUGAACAUGGAAAUUGUACUGCACUGAUGUUAAUAUAUUUGUGCAAAAGUGCAACCAUUUUGUGUUUGUGUCUAGAUGUUAUCCUGCCAGGGAACUCGUCCAGCUUCAGACAUGAAGUACUGAGCAAACUUCUCCCUCACUGCCACAACAUCUCUGCCAGUAUUGUUGGUGCCAAGGCGAGGUGCGUUCUGGAGACCUUGUGAUGGCUCAGCUGUGGAUGUUCCAGUAGAUGACCUAGCCGGUAUUGUAGUGCUGGCAUCCCACCUCAGAAAGUUAUGCAGCAUGCAGGUGGCCUUUACCACGUUCUCUGCCACUUCUGGAGAGACACACAGCACCCGACGUGUUGUAGCCAGGGUAUGGGCGCAUGAUGUUACGGCGCAAGGGGAAGGCUUCGUCUGCCAGAAACACAUGAGGCAUCGGGCCAAGAUGUUCUGCCCCUGGGAGGAUGGAGUCAUCCGGGAUACCCAAUGUGUUCUGCCGUAGGGCAGUACCAAAAGCGGAGGAGGAGAGGGUUCCCCCAUCACUGUUUCUUCCAUAGGCCCCGAUGUCAACAAGCCUGAAACAGUACCUGGCGUCCACUACAGCCAGAAGGACGAUGGAAAAAGUGCCUUUGUAAUUG